UGCUCUAACCAAAGUGCAAGAUUUGAAAUGUGUGGUGGUGAUAUCCGGAGGUAAAUUUGCAAGCGUAGAGAUUGCAACUCCAAAGCUAGCCGAAAAUGCAUUUUCCUCUCUGAUUCAGAUUCCCUCACUCCACAUCUUCGGUGAGAAUGAUUUCGCAAAGUUAGGUGCAAUUGAACUAUUGGAAUCAUUUGUUGAUCCUUUUGUUAUUUUGCACCCCGGGGGUCACGAGGUACCAGAACUAGAUGAAAAAGGUGUGAAGGUAAUGAACAGUUUCCUGGACAAGGUUCAAGCCUCAUUUGCAGCUCCUAAAGUGAUCCGCUCACUUAUGUAGCUCUGUCAACAAAGAGGAUGUUGUCUGACUAUUUGAUGCAUCAAGCACAACACAAGAUACUGCUUUCUAUCACAAUGGACUUUGUAUUGUUGUCUUCAUUGUGAUUAGACCAAUAAUUCACAGUUUUUAUCAGUAAAAUACAGUUUCAGAAUUCAAAUAAAAAAAAUACGAUCUCAAUAUUUUUUAUGAUUUCGAACAAUUUGUGACAUAAUUCACGAAAAAUAUUGUGAAUACGACAAACUGAAUUUAAAGCGAA